UUUCAACAGAAAUCAUGUAUUUUCCAAAUUUUGCUUUUUUAUUUCACUGACUCGGACCUAGUGAAUGUGGAUAGCACCGAUCUAAUAUUAAGAGAACACACGAGCAGAUUACCAGGUCGUCAGCUCCCGCGAACAAUUUAGCAGUGAAGAGGACAACGCAGAGCUGCGCCGCCACGACAUGGACAGAGCAAGAUACUGCCAGAAAAGAUCUUACUUCUUGGUGAGCUUCCAGGGAUAUUAGCAUCUCCCAAAGAGGCCCUGGAGUCCAUGAAACGAGGUUCAUUCAGCUCAAGCCCAAGAUCAUCUGAGCUGUCUUCCUGAAACCUCAGAAAUGAUUUCUCUCGGUGGUUCUGAUGUCCCCAAAAGAGUCUAUGGCAGACUGAACAAGUCACGAACUUCUCUUUUUACUCACGACUUGGCCACUUUACUUUUUGCUAUUGCAUUUCACUUUGUUUGACUUAAAGGAUUAGUUCACUUAAAAAAAAAAAAAACUU